rnacentral:lncRNA from 11 species
GCAAGCUGGCAAACCAGGAAGCCCCUUCAGAUGCGUGGACAAUGAAAUCUAUCUUUAUAGAAAUAUAGAAUGUGUCGAGAAAGAGAAGUUUAGGCAACUUCAACAGGACCUGAAGGUGUUUCAAAAGUCCACCGUUGCAUCAAGGGCUCGGGAGCGAAAGACUUUUAAAAAAUUAGAACAAGUCAUUGACAGAGAGUCAGAAGAUGAUAUAGAAGAGAAAAGUUCUGAUGUGAGCUGGGCUCUUGCUUUUGCAAAAUGUGAGCAAAAUGGGUUACAAAAACAUAACUUUGGAUGACUUAGUGCUCACCAAUCAUUUA